AUAAUAAAAAAUAUUUUAGGUUCUUUAAAGAUUAAUAGGGAAAGAGGUGAGAACCCUCUACAGCCCCCGUUACUGUAAUGUGGACGAAACUCAACAAACCACUGUAAAAAAGUUACGAAUGGAAUUUGAGCAACGGAUUUGACUAAAAUUGCAUGGCGCCGACGUAGUCGUUUAAAGCAUUAGCAAAGUCAUAUCGUUGGUAAUAUGAACGUAGUGAAUUUUUUAUGGGAAGGUGAGGAGUAGGAUGAAGCUAAGUCAGGAGACCUGCCUAGAGUAUAAAAAGAAAU
rnacentral:ncRNA from 14 species